rnacentral:snoRNA from 1 species
AAACCAUGCAUCGGGCAUUUUUUUUAGUAUCUCCUUGAAUUGCUCCCAUGCUUCAUAUAAUGUUUCAUCCUCUAAUUGUAUAAACGAUGUAAUGUCGUUCCUCAACUU